rnacentral:ribozyme from 1 species
ACAAGAAGAAACAACAACAAGAAGAGAACAACACUCGCAACACUCCUCUACCACAACACUCUUCUCUUUCUUUCUUUCUUUCUUUGAUUCUUCUUUUUUU